rnacentral:lncRNA from 1 species
GUUUUGUUUUCAAUGUGCAGAUCCUAGAUAUCAAACCUUCUAUGUUCUCUCUUCAUGGUGUUGUCUAGGAAGUUCAAAGCCCAAACCCAUGGCCUUCUUGUCAUGGGAUAACCUGGAAUCUCUAAUGGCAGGCAUUUGCUGAACCUUCAUGAGUGCCUCCUGUGGGUGCUGGGCCAGUUUCUGAAUUAGAUGAGAACUGUGCUGUUAGAGAGUUCCUAGACUUGGUGGAGCAUACUAAAUCUUCUGAAGGCAGAAAGCACCAGGCAUGAGGGAUCAGCUGUGUGCUGCGUCGUCUACAGAAAGCCACAGGGAUUUUUUCAUAGUUGCAUCUUAAAAUGUAUGUGGCUCUUGGGAUCUGAAGAAAAGAGAAGACUGGAGAAGACAUGAAGACUUCUGACAACACACCAGUGUCAACGCCAUUCAUAGUCUGUUGACUUGAUUGCAGAGCCCUGAUACUAUCACAAGGGAAGCUGAGAGGAGUACGGGACAUGGAAUGUUUGGUGAGCUGCCUCUUCAGUAGCUGGAUAAAGGGAAUUUCAGAGUUUAACCCUGAGUGAGGAGUGAAAAAGGCACGUGCACAAGCUGCUUAUAAACUGAGAGCAAGCUGAGAAGAGGAAGGGGUGGACCCAGACAGCAUCUCGGCCGCCCUCCCGGUUAUCUGCAGCGUGGUGUUAGGAUUCAGGCAGGGACCCUGUGGUGUACCCAAACUGGGUCAAUUCUACUUUAGGUGGUUCAGUCCUUAAAAGUCAGUCAAAGGAAUGCACCAACUAGGAUAUAAGAGUGAACAUAUUCAACAUUAGAUAAAUAAAAUCCAGCACACAAG